GCCUGGGUGGCUCAGUGGGUUGAGUGUCAGAUUCCUGAUUUCAGCUCAGGUCAUGAUCUCACGGUUCGUGGGUUCGAGCCCCGCAUCAGGCU
rnacentral:tRNA from 1 species